rnacentral:rRNA from 1 species
AACGAACGCUGGCGGCAGGCUUAACACAUGCAAGUCGAACGCAUCCUUCGGGGUGAGUGGCAGACGGGUGAGUAACGCGUGGGAACGUGCCCUUCAGUUCGGGAUAACCCAGGGAAACUUGGGCUAAUACCGGAUACGUGCGAGAGCAGAAAGAUUUAUCGCUGAAGGAUCGGCCCGCGUCUGAUUAGCUAGUUGGUAGGGUAAUGGCCUACCAAGGCGACGAUCAGUAGCUGGUCNGAGAGGAUGAUCAGCCACAUUGGGACUGAGACACGGCCCAAACUCCUACGGGAGGCAGCAGUGGGGAAUAUUGGACAAUGGGCGCAAGCCUGAUCCAGCCAUGCCGCGUGAGUGAUGAA